rnacentral:rRNA from 1 species
GACAGAGGUGCCGAGCGUUAGGCGGAAUCACUGGGCUUAAAGCGUGUGUAGGUGGAUGUCUAAGUACCUUGUGAAAUCCCACGGCUUAACCGUGGAACGGCUCGGUAUACUGGAUGUCUUGAGCCAGCUAGGGGCUACCGGAACAAAUGGUGGAGCGGUGAAAUGCGUAGAUAUCGUAAGGAAGACCAGUGGCGAAGGCGGGUCUCUGGACAGUUCCUGACGCUGAGGCACGAAGGUCAGGGGAGCAAACGGG